GCCUGGGUAGCUGAGUCAGUUGAGCGUCUGACUUCGGCUCAGAGCAUGAUCUCCCGGAUCGUGAGUUCGAGCCCCACAUCGGGCU
rnacentral:tRNA from 1 species